rnacentral:misc_RNA from 1 species
GAAUUGGAAUGAUAGCUUCCAUAUGAGAUUUAUAUAAUAUACAAAAACAAAGGAAGAAUCCAAGAAGGAAGAUUAAUUAGGCAUUUAUAUAUAUUGUUCAAAUUUUUACAAAGGAAAAAUCAUUGUUAUUUGGAUCUUCUGUUCUUCCUUGAUGAUCUUGUUUUCUUGAUUCAUUCCCAUGGUGAGUGGAUCCCUCGGUCUCCGAGAGGUCUGAGAGUUCAAUAUCGGAUCGAUAAGAUCUUGGGGAAUUAAGGACACUUUCAAUGUCUGUUUGACUUGAGUGGUGCUUGUGGCCAUGAAGCAAAUGUAUGGGUGAUGUACCUUGGCCUGAUGUGGUUUCACCACUUGUGAACCCUGGAGAACUACCUCCUGCCCCUGGUUGUCUUGACUUAUUUCUCUGCUUUGCAGCCUUCUGCCAUUUUCUAAGAGCUUUUGCUGUUUGUUCCUCAAAGAUUGAUCUCUUCAUGUGCGAACCCAUUUGUGUCACCAAGGAAUAUAGAGGAAAGGUUAUGUAGCUGCAUACGAACUGAAGGGCCACUCCAAGGAAAACCCUCACCAAAAUGGCUACCAGGUUUUCAUGGAAGCAAGAUUUCAACCCAAAUUCAUACCAUGUCCACAAGAAAAAUGCCAUUUGAAAAGCGUUCUGGAACAAUGUGUAAUGAAGCAAGAACAGAAUCCACUGGGGUCGAUUAAACCAGAAAUACUUGUUGUUAGGCUCAACCACAGGAGCUCCUCUGACAACUGUAGUUCUUGCUUGGAUUUCUUGGGCCAUCUCCAUUAUAACAAGUUCAAGUUUAGUACCCACCAAGAGAAGUAUAAUGAGUGGCACUAUCGUCAACCAGGUAAGUGUGUACCAUUUGUAGACAUUAAGGAGCAAAAAGACAAUGGCAAAAAUCCACAGUGGGAUACUAAUACCCACAACCACCUUGAAGUCAUCU